GAACNCNGNCGGCAUGCCUUACACAUGCAAGUCGAACGGCAGCACGGACUUCGGUCUGGUGGCGAGUGGCGAACGGGUGAGUAAUACAUCGGAACGUGCCUAGUAGUGGGGGAUAACUACUCGAAAGAGUGGCUAAUACCGCAUGAGAUCUACGGAUGAAAGCAGGGGAUCGCAAGACCUUGUGCUACUAGAGCGGCUGAUGGCAGAUUAGGUAGUUGGUGGGAUAAAAGCUUACCAAGCCGACGAUCUGUAGCUGGUCUGAGAGGACGAUCAGCCACACUGGGACUGAGACACGGCCCAGACUCCUACGGGAGGCAGCAGUGGGGAAUUUUGGACAAUGGGCGCAAGCCUGAUCCAGCAAUGCCGCGUGCAGGAUGAAGGCCUUCGGGUUGUAAACUGCUUUUGUACGGAACGAAAAGCUUCGGGCUAAUACCCUGGAGUCAUGACGGUACCGUAAGAAUAAGCACCGGCUAACUACGUGCCAGCAGC
rnacentral:rRNA from 1 species